GGCACUGUAUGCCUAAUGGUUAGAGAGUCGGACUUGUAACCCGAGGGUCAUGAGUUCGAGUCUCAGGCCG